rnacentral:misc_RNA from 1 species
CAAAGGUUGCAUUGAGCUUCUGUUCACAGUCCUCAGUGCUACUCUUUUGGACAGAAAACAUGUUCUUUCUGAAGGAUCGGACAGGAGGCCAACCAACUACUUGUGCCCUAAAAUUUCACACAACAAAAUUUUUUAUAAUUAAAUAUAUACUAUCAUCUUUCAUAUUUAAUGAUCUUUAAUUAACGUCCCAAACAGCAUUUAAUUGUUUUAUAAGUGAAGGUAUUAUAGAGAGAAUUACAGAAGCAAUGGAAAGUGACAAAGCAAGUCAAUGGAAUUAAAGAUACGUAGCUUUUCAAAAAAUAAAUUGAUUGGGUCAAAAUGAAAAUGAAUUAUCUACGUUAAUCUGUUAAUUGGGCCAAUAAUUGCAAGCCACUGGAUUUUUAUUUUGGUUCUUUAUGAGAAGGGCAUCGAUGUUGGACACAGGACCACUUUCAGGGUGUACCAACUGAGCUAAAUAACGCAAUUGGUUAGCUACUGAAAGUUUUGUUAUAAUUUAUGUAUCCUCCAAUAUUAUAAUUAGUUUAUUUUUUUUAAUAAGCCAAUAUUAUAAUUAGUUGUUUAUAUAUUUUGUCUAUUGAGAUCUCAAUUCUUACCUUAUUACUCAAAAUUUUCUUUCCUUAUUCUUGGAAACCAGGAACUACUAAUUAUUGUGGUUUGCAUCAUUAAAUGCAUGGCUACACAAACUUAAAUUUAUAUAGACAAGAUCUACAUGUAAAUCUACUUACUGGCUUUUAAAUUUGCUAUACUAUGAAAAUUUGCCAAUGGUGAUUUAUGCUAACAGUAACUUCAAUUGUUUUCUUUAUGCUUUAUGUAUCUAUUUUUCUCCAAUCAUUCUCGCCGAUUACUAGAUGAAAUUUACUUAAUUCAUGGAAAAUACAUCGGUGGAAUUCUAGAUGCAUAUACUUGAAGUGCAUCAACUAGCAGCUGAGAUAGAGAUUAAUGUUGAUAAAUCUAAGUUAUGUGCAUGUGCUAAAAGCUUAAUUAGCAUCAAAACCAGAAGGAUUAUUAUAGAAACUGUUCUCUCUCAUACUCACAAAGACGUAUAUUACCUAAUCAGAUAUGUUACAGAAAAAAGGAAAGACAGAAGGAAAGAAAAGGGAAGGGAAAACAAGAGACCGAUUAAGUUAGAUCAGAAAAAGAAAGCAUGCAACUUACUUAGCUGGAGGCUUUUCUGGAUCAGCAGCGAGAAGAUGCUUCUCUCUUUGUAACUUGCUGGUAUUGCCAUUUUGAUCGAUCCCAGGGUCUUUGGAUGAAAGAUUAAGCUUCAAAUCCACAGUCUCAGAGAA